GCCACUUCUUGCAGAUUUCAAGUGUUUUACACUGUAACCCAGUCCACCCCCGAGUGGGAAGGUUACGAGGGUCGUGUUUCCAUGGAGAUGUUGUUAGAGAUCUUACCCCCUCCCCCCAGUGCAGGCACUGAACGGGAGCUAUUUAUAGGGGUAUGUGGCCCAGACGCUUUCACACAUCAUAUUGUCAGCAUGUUGAAAGAUCUCAGUUACACUGGAAAGAUGAUUCACGCAUUCCUGGCAUAAUAUUAUACUUUGUAUACGUGGACACAGAAUUUAAUUCGUUUACACCGUGCAAUACGUCACAGAUCUAAUCCGUUCGCUAUUCAAGUCUAAUUAAAUAUAAUACUCAUUGAGGUUUGGAUUACACUGACGUGAAAAUGCUCCGCUCCUACUGUUCCACGUGGUACUGGCAUUGUGCUCUUAAUCUCUGUUUUCUUAAGACUGUUCGUGUUUCCGCGAAAUCGAGGAAACUAUGCAAUUUGAGGGUAACCAAAACUGAUUCCCUCCGGAACAGGGAUAAAAUGUUUUGUUUACUCACAGAGAAUGAAAAAAGUCAACAAACAAGAAAACAAGCAUUCAAAGCAGAAAAAAUUUCUAUUACAUGAAACUCCCAAAACGGCGUUGUAAAACUUGUCUACGUAAAAAUACAUAGUUAAACUAAAAGCCCAAAGCUAU